UACCUCUCUCCGCGGUCUUGUUCUUCCCACCUCGUCGCCUUGCCUUUGCCUCAACCAUAGACAGCGAGACUCUGUCUCUGUCUGUCUGUCUGUCUGUCUGUCUGUCUGUCUCUCUCUCUCUCUCUCUCUCUCUCUCUCUCUCUCUCUCCCCUUCUAGUUCAGAGGGAUUUGGGUUUUAAUUUUAGGGUUACUGAUUUGGGGUUACUGAUUUGAGUUUUAAUCUAACCAUUUGGGUGUUGGCUUGUGGUCGCUUUACCUCGAUCAACAAAGGUGCUUAGCUUUUCCAUCUCUCUUGCCCUCUACGGCUUUUGCGCUCACUCUGAAGCUUUGAUAGGUGAUGGCUUCGAAACGGAUCUUGAAGGAGCUGAAGGACGUCCAGAAAGAUCCUCCUACUUCAUGCAGCGCUGCGAGUUCCAAGACAUAUUCGAUGUGGAUCAUUUCAUCACAUCCUUGAGAGAUGAAGUUCGCAUAUUGAAAGAGUUGCCUCCGAGGGUUAAGAGGAUAGUGGCCACCAAUUAGUUGGUCUGACAUGUCUUAUUAUCAUAAUCAGGUUGUAACGCUGAGGAGGUGGAAGAAUUGACAAGAAUGAGAUAUGCUUAUCCCUGAUGGAAAGAGAAAAUAAUCAAUUCUGACCUGAAAAGGAAAGAUGGUUUAUGUCCUCUGACACCUGAAGAAACCACUCUUAUGUUAAAAUGUAAACUGCCUAGCUAAUUUCUGAUUAGUUAGUAAUCACUUAGUCAGUUUAUAUUUAGUCUAUUUAAGCCAUUUGUUAGCUGAGCAUCUUGAGCUCAUAUGCCAAGUGUAAGGCUUAGGUUUGUCUCUCUUUUCCAGCGGUCCUAAAGCUUUGUAAUGCCAUGUGUCAUAUUCACAUUGGCUUAACCUUCA